UACAGAGGAGCCAAGCGUUGUCCGGAUUGACUGGGCGUAAAGCGCACGCAGUCGGUUGCGCGCGUGGGGUGUCAAAUCUGGCCGCUUAACGGCCAGGCGCCAUCCCAUACGGCGCGACUGGAGUGAUGCAGAGGUCGAUGGAAUUGCCGGUGUAGUGGUGAAAUGCGUAGAGAUCGGCAGGAACACCCAGGGGGAAACCAGUCGACUGGGCAUCUACUGACGCUGAGGUGCGAGAGCGUGGGGAUCGAACCGG
rnacentral:rRNA from 1 species